rnacentral:lncRNA from 1 species
GUUAACAAUUCUUGCCUUAGCUACUUCUUGGACUGCUGUGAAGAUUAAAUACAAUAAUACGUCUGAAGUUCUGCAUAAGCUGCAAAGCACUAUACAAAUGAAGCUUACCAUUAUUGAUUUGUACAUUAAUUGUUAGUCCUCAAACAUGAGUUAUUAAUGCUUUAAUGGUGAAACUCUUACAAAAUGCUAUUAUAAAGUAAAUAGAGUUGAGACCACAAUUUCAGAUCAACAAAAUGUGGCCAAGAGACUGGUGAGUCUAAUUGAACAUUGCGUCUUAUUGACUUUGUGGUUUUUUUUCUACUUUCCAGCUCAGAAUGCAGAGAAGCUAAAAGGUGUGGACAUUAGAAAACAUCUGUGUAAAUCCCAUUCACCAACUUGAUGACUUUCUUGAUGCUCAAAAGGCUUUUUCCCCACUGUAUCUGGCUUCUACUGACAGAAGGCAAUGGUUGGAGCUUGGAAGGAAGGGUUUCGAUAUGCAGAGUUGCAUUGCAAUUCCCACUUGAUUAUUGUCUGGAAACAGUGAGAACUACAAAGUGACUCCACCUACAGUAAGUAACUGCUCUGUUGGUUGACUCUGCUUUUUCCUUCUAGUCGUGGACCCUGCCUCCUCUGACAGGAGUAACAUUGAGGUUCUUGAUCUUACCUCCUGUGACAGAGGUUUCCUGUGCAUUUCUUGGGUGCUGCUUUCCUCUGUUUCUGUUCUUUUUGGAGAAUUACUCCAGUUUAUGACCCAAUAAUAGUUCUUUCUGUUUGGUUGGUUGUUUUUUAAGUGUAUCGUGUGUGUGUGUGUGUAUUUGGUGGUAGGAGCAUUUGGUGCGUGUACUCAGUCUGUCAUCUUGAAAUUAGAGUCCCUAUUUCCUAAAUGUCAGAAAUAAGGUAGACAUGGGACUCCGGGGACACCAAAUAUGAGCUAGGAAUAGCGCUCUCCUUCACUGUGAACUGCUGUCUUUUUGUAUGUUUCCUAAAGUAAAGCACAUUUGGAUUAAGGUUUGCCUUUUUGCCAACUGACCCUUUGGAUGAACUUGGGUACAUCCUGCCUCUGCUACUCCAAGCCAAGGGACUGGUUCCUUUGAGGUCAUUUAUACUAAUUCUCCCAGUUGGCUUUUCCUUUCCUAGUGGUGAAUCAUCCAGCCAUUUCCCAAUUUUGUCUCACCUGAAUUCUAUCUUGCUGUAAAUCUUUGAAAUCCUAGUUUCCAGAGCUGAUAGAGAUGCCCCUAUUUAAAUAUAUCUUUGGGAAUUUAAUGAUGGAAAGGAUUUAAAUACAUCAAGUGAGAGGAAUCUAAAACUGGGAAUCCCAACAGCAUCUUAGUAAAACAAACUCGACCUGAUUAAUCUCUUUGACUUCUAAAGUCAUUAGUGAAACCAAAAGGCAUUUAAGCAAAACAACAAAGUCAAAAGUAUACUAUUGAAGAACAACUGCCCAGGAGAGCUAACAUAAUUUCCUUUGUUAAAAAAAUUUAAAGUAAAAGAUGGGGGCCAUUUUUUAAAAAUAGGUAAGUUCCGUGUGCCACACUGAUGAGACUGUAGAUACAAUCUC